AGCAGCCGCGGUAAUUCCAGCUCCAAUAGCGUAUAUUAAAGUUGUUGCAGUUAAAAAGCUCGUAGUUGAAUUUCGGAAUCAAUAUAUCGGUCGUGCCUUGGUACGUACUGGUAUCAUUGGUUUCUCCUUUCUGACGAACCAUGAUGUCAUUAAUUUGGUGUUAUGGGAAGUUAGGACUGUUACUUUGAAAAAAUUAGAGUGUUUAAAGCAGGCUUUAGCUUGAAUACAUUAGCAUGGAAUAAUGAAAUAGGACGUUCGAACCUAUUUUGUUGGUUUCUAGGAUCAACGUAAUGAUUAAUAGGGAUAGUUGGGGGCAUUAGUAUUCAAUUGUCAGAGGUGAAAUUCUUGGAUUUAUUGAAGACUAACUACUGCGAAAGCAUUUGCCAAGGAUGUUUUCAUUAAUCAAGAACGAAAGUUAGGGGAUCGAAGACGAUCAGAUACCGUCGUAGUCUUAACCAUAAACUAUGCCGACUAGGGAUCGGAUGAUGUUAAUUUUUAAUGACUCAUUCGGCGCCUUACG
rnacentral:rRNA from 1 species